CCCGGCAGGGCUGAGGGGCCGAGACCGAGACCACCGAGAUCGAGACCGCCGGGACUGAGACCGAGACCGAGAUCGAGACCGGUGUCGGUGCGGGCUCGUCGGGUCCCGCUGUGCGCGGAUGGCCAGCACUCCUGGGAAUCAGAAAGCCACACACUUGGAAAAUUCCCAAGGGAAGAAGUCCCAGCAUGCAGAAGAAGCCAUUUUUUACAUGAACUGCAGAGCAGCUUAUCUGACUGUCUUAAAAAGCAGCUUAGAAAAUAUUAAAUCUAAAGAACAGCUCAGUUUAGCACUUCAACAAGCUGGAAGAAAUCCUUCUCAGAAGACUAUUAACAAAUACUGGACUUCACAAACAACUUCACUGAAUUUUGAUGAUUUUUGUGCUAUUUUAAAAAAAGAAAAGCCAGCUACAAAAAAUGAACUACUCGAAGCAUUUGGAAAAAUAGACACAGAUAAGUCUGGAUAUAUUUUACAUGAUGAACUUUUUAAAAUUCUUACAACAAGAGGUGAUAAAAUGACCUGGGAGGAAGUAACCAGCAUUACUAAACAAGCUGAUUUUAACUGCAGUGACAAACUUGACUAUAGCAAGUUCUGUGAGCUGUACCUGACCACCAGUGAGCAGUGCUGCAAAGCUGCAAGGGACAGGCUGGAAACUGACCCUCGACUGAGGCAGCAGCACUUUGGGAAUCAAACUGAACAUUUCUCCCAUGGGAUCACACUGCCAGUGUCAAAAGCAUCCCCGAGGGUCUCCAGGAAAACUGAUCACAAAUUGGCCAAAGGUGACAGCAGAGCUCCUUCAAGACCUUCAUCAGCUCAAAGCAGCAAAGCUUCCACCUCCACCACUGUGACUGUGAGUGCCAGCAGCAGCAGGAACACAAAGCUAAUUAUUGAGCCUGACACAAUGAAGGAAUGGCAAUGUGCACAAUCCAAAGGCUGCUUCUACCUGGAGGAAGAUGGGGAAAUCAUCAGUCACAAGUACAGGCUGCACUUACCCCAGAGAUCUGCAGUUUGUGUCACCAUCAAACCUUUCACUGUUCCCCAGGCAGAAGGAAAAUCUUGUCGCUGGUUGUCAGUGGAUACAGCUUUGUUUAUUCUGAAGGAAAAUGAAACACAAGAGAAUCUACAGCUUGUGAGCUUUACUGAACUCCAAAACAAAGAGGUGUUUGGCUGGAGAGGGGAGCUUGGAGCUGGAGUUUACUGGCUGCUCCCUUUCACAACUGGCUGCAGGCUGAGAAAGGUAAAAACCCAAAUUACUGGAGAAGCAGAACUGGUGUGGAGGGAUGAAGAUGGAGAGCUGGCUCUCACCAGAGAAUUCCGAGCUACUCUGUUGGAGAUAUUUGAAACAAUUGAUUUGGAUGGGAAUGGCCUCCUGAGUCUGGAGGAAUACAACUUCUUUGAGCUGAGGACUAGUGGGGAGAAGUGUGAUCAGGAAGCCUGGGCUGUGUGUAAGGAGAAUUUUGAGAUGAAGAAGAAUGAACUAACAAGACAAGGAUUUCUGGAUUUGAAUCUCAUGGAAGCCAACGACCGGGAUGGGGAUCCUUGGGACCUUUGGGUCACUUUGUUGUCCCUGGGCUACAACAAAGCCUUAGAAAUGACAGAGCCACAAGAGAGAGCCCUCCUCCAAGAAAGAGCAUUUUGGGGAGGUUUUUCUCCAGUUAGGAAUUUCAGGAAGGUGUUUUGUGCCCUGUUCCAGCUGUGGUUUCUGGCUCCAGCCUUUGCUUUCCAAAGGACAGCACAGCUCUCAAAUGCUUCGGCCUGCCCCUUUGUUAUUGACAUCAGUGCAGAGAGGUGCAAACCCAGAAUUAAAGCCAUUUCUCUGGAGGCAGGGGGCUCCCAGCUCAGCAGAGCUGUCUGCAGGUCUGUGGUUAAUAAAGGAGAGGCCAAAGUGCUGGAUGGCUCUGAGAACAUCUUCAUCUACACCUACAGAUCUGGCAGCAGAAUCACCUCUGUGAUUGAAAAUAAGUCUGAAAAUAAAGUGAUAAUUCAUGUCAACAAUGAGCAGAGUAAGAACUGCCUAAACAAUAGGGGACUGGCGAUUUUUGCUGUGGAAGUGGCUCCAAAAUCCAUGAUGGUCUCUCAGCACGUGAUGGCCCUGAAUGAGCAGGAAGAGUGGAUUUACAGCUGUGUGCACUCCCUUGGCAGCUGAAAUAAGAUGACUGAAGUGCACCAAGUUUAGGCUGCAACAGCAGUGAAAACCAGCUUUGAGGAAAGGAAUGGUUGAAGCUGAAAGAAGGGCUUAGCUGAGAAAUCACUGCACGUGGAAAGAGUUGGGUUUGCUGCAGGUAAAAAACAUGGCACAGCACUACACAGGGAACCUCAUUUAUUUUCUGAUCCUCCUACUGCUAGGAAGGGUUUAAUUAUCUAAUUUUUGUAAGUGAGGACAUAUGCAAACUCUCCAUGGCAGGUUCUACCUUUCCUGCUCUGGAUGAGGUGAGGUUGGAGAUCUUGGUUAUAUCUGCAGAGUCUUUUUCAGUUUGCUCCAAAUCCAGGUACCACCAAGACAGAAAAAUUCCAGCUUCUCUUUUAAGGUUGAACACAGGCACCAGCUUAUUUUCUUGGAGGGAAGAUAUUUAGGAGAAAAAAAAAUCCCUUUAACAGGUAAUUUAAAUUUCUGGAAUGUUACCUUUCUUUUGAGAACUAAAGCUGUAACAAAAUCCAUCUUCUUCAAGGCUUUGCUGGGGCACUGGGGGGCUCCUGCUCCUGUGGGGUGCUCACUUGAGGCCAGGGCUGGUCUGUAAGGGCUGUGGGGACAUCCUGCUAGUGGCCACAGGGCCAGGCAGGGUCUGGAGCACCUGG